rnacentral:rRNA from 1 species
GAUGAACGCUGGCGGCGUGCUUAACACAUGCAAGUCGAACGGGAUCCAUCAGGCUUUGCUUGGUGGUGAGAGUGGCGAACGGGUGAGUAAUGCGUGACCGACCUGCCCCAUACACCGGAAUAGCUCCUGGAAACGGGUGGUAAUGCCGGAUGCUCCAGUUGAUCGCAUGGUCUUCUGGGAAAGCUUUCGCGGUAUGGGAUGGGGUCGCGUCCUAUCAGCUUGACGGCGGGGUAACGGCCCACCGUGGCUUCGACGGGUAGCCGGCCUGAGAGGGCGACCGGCCACAUUGGGACUGAGAUACGGCCCAGACUCCUACGGGAGGCAGCAGUGGGGAAUAUUGCACAAUGGGCGCAAGCCUGAUGCAGCGACGCCGCGUGAGGGAUGGAGGCCUUCGGGUUGUAAACCUCUUUUAUCGGGGAGCAAGCGUGAGUGAGUUUACCCGUUGAAUAAGCAC